UUGUCAGAUGGGAUAAUCCUUACUUGUUUCUCAUUGUGGAGAGCAGAUUAGAGAGUGACAAUUGGUGCUUGAAUGACAAGUGACGGUAUACCCACGUCUCUGUGUAACAAGGUCUGGCAACAUGCUGAUGUUCUGGA